rnacentral:lncRNA from 1 species
GAGCAGAAGGGACUAUGGAUAAGCAUAGGAAAUUACCAUGUGGGCACAGGGUGAUGGAAGGGGGACGAAGGGGUGAAAGACCUAAUGAAUAAGGGCUAAUAAUAAACAAAUUCAUGGAAAUGCAUGCACUCUUACUAAUAAGCAGUCUCGUGCAAGAGAAAAACCAUUUUCACAUAUUAAAUUAGGAAACCUUUUUUUAAAAAAGAAUACUUAAUGUCCCAUGAAUGAGGCGGAUAACACUCAUGAACGCCGGACAAAGAAUACACUGCAACUACUCUUUGGAAAGCAAAGUGACAUUAUUGAAAGCUCCAAAUCCUUUCCCCAAAACUGUAAUUGAACUUCUGGGAUCUAUGCUAAAGAAAAUAAUCACCCUAAAUACAGCAAAUAGACACAAGAUGAAAACACACCCUUCCUUGGCUUAGCAAAGAUAUUUUCCCUAAUACUAUUUACAAUAACAAAAUAAUUAAAAAUUAGCUUACUGGUCUACCACGAGGGAAUGGUUUUUAAACUGGUACAGAGACUAAAUGGAAUAUUAUGUAGCCAUUAAAACAUACCAAGAAAAACAUGUAUAUUAUCCUAUUUGGACAUCAGAGACCACUUACACUAUCAUACAUAAUUAAAAAAACCUUUUUUGUAAGAUAGUCUAAAAGGAACACCUUAUACUGUAAACAAUGGCUUCUUCUGUCUGAAGAAAUAUGAGUCAUUUUCUUCCCUGUUUCUACAUUUUUCCACUUUUUUCAAAUGUUCUUUAAUCUGUACAUAGUACUUUAUUAUUAAAGAUCAUUCAAAUUAACAGGAAUACCCUAAAGAGGAUGUGGCAUACAUAUAAGAAAAUACUAGAAUAUAUAGCAUUUUUAAGAAAAAAGAAAUAUGAAGAAACAAGGCACAGUUUAUAGUAUAAGCUGAGAAGAUAAACAGGAGAAAGGGCAGAUAACCAGGUCCCAGAUACCAGAGCUAAAAUAGAGUGAGGAGGAAGGAGAAGCUUAAGUAAGUGACAAGUAGGAAAGAAAACCCAGUAAAAUACCGGGACAGAAAAGAAAAAGGUAUCGAACAAGAGUUGUGGAGCUGAAUAUUAGAAUGCUUUUGCUUUGCUACAGGAUUAUUUAAAAAUGCUUGGUCUGGAGUUCCCGCUGUAGCUCUACAGGUUAAGAACCCAACCAGUAUCCAUGAGGAUGGGGGUUUGAUCCCUGGCCCUGCUCAGUGGGUUAAGGAUGCUGUGUUGCUGAAAGCUGUGGCAUAGAUUGCAGAUGCGGCUCGUAUCUGGUGUUGCUGUGGCUGUGGCAUAGGCUGGCAGCUGCGGCGCCAAUUCAAACCUUAGCCAAGGAACUUCCAUUGCUCUGGUGAGGCCCUAAAAAGAAAUAAAAAAUGUUGGGUCACCAUAAUAACAAUGGAAUAAUGGGGUAAGGCCACAUGACUUUACAAACAGAAAAGUCAAAGAAGGAUGGGGGUUGUGAAGGUGAGAUGCUAAUCUGAUUUCCCUUGUAUCCAUGUCAAGGUCAAGAGUCAAGCUGCUUUAUAUUUCAAGGUUUCCAGUCAGUCCACUAGGACUUCAGUGUCCUACCAAAUAUUCCUUGUGGCUUCCCUCUGCCAACUGGAUUAGCAUCCUCCUGUUUAUCUCUGGUGUUAAUUUUAUGUUUGAUAUUUCAGGAUAGCUAAACAGACUUGUUUGGGGAGGAAGGGAAAGGGAAGAAUAUUAGAAAGGAUUGCAAUAGCAGUGCACAUUGAAAACCUUUGAAAUGUUGAGCACAAUGGCUAGGCAGAAAAACAUGAAUUGCAUGACUCUCAUCUGUGAUCCCCUUCAUGGUUUUCUAUCCUUGGAUCAGCCCUCUGGAAAACUGUGGAGAACAGCAUAAUUAUUGCACGUCUUGCUAAGAUCUUUCACUUGCUAGAUGUAAACCUUUAAAAAGAGUCCUCGGUUUUUAGUUCUGUGUGAUAUAUAUUGGCUGCCUCUAUCUUUUUCUAAUCCAGCAUAAAAUCCCUUCAAUCUAGACAUCUUUAAGUAGUAAGUUCAUGUGAUGCUUGGCAGAAGUUUCCUUCAUUUGAAGGCCACAGAUUCUUAGAAUUUCCUUAUUUUCUCUACUCUGCUCCCCGCCCCCCCCCUUUUUUUCUCAGCUUGAAAAUAUGAUGAGAUAAAAUAGGGAAGUUCUUGUGUUCCAGAGGCACCAUAAACAUUAGGCAGGGCUGGGAGUACAUUAAACUUGCUCCCACAGUGAAUAAUUCUUCCUACCUCUUACUGGUAGACUGAAGACUUCAAUUUCCUAGAGAAAAAAAAAGUGCUUUGCCAAUGAUGUCACCCUCUUUUAACAACACGAAGUAUUUAAUAUUUCCUAUGCUACUUAGAUUAUAUAAACCCAUUUCCCUUCCCCUGGUAGAGUUUAAUUUGCAAAUGAAUUUAAAAUAGAGAUGUUUUUGCUAAACCAUAAUGAGAAUACUUUCUCUUGCAAAUUCUUAGACUGCCUUUGGUUAUUUAUUUCACUGAAAUAUCCAUAGCUGUGAGCACAGCAAUUUCUGAAAGCCUGUUUGCAACAGCACCUAGAAUCUGUCAUCCAAUUCCCUUUCUCAACAGCAGGAUGAAUUAGGUACUCUCUCUCUCUCUCUCUCGUAACUCACAUGUUUUCUGAAAGAUAAUCAUUGAGAGAAAUUGACCAUAAACUAACCAUUAGCUUUUCCCAGAGCCCAAGGAUUACCAGCCAACUUAAAUUUAAUGCACGAACAUCAAGGAGGGAAAAGAACUUUAGGAAGUUCCUUAAAUCACUGUGAGGUUAGAGCUGUUGGCUUAGCUCACUGCUGGUGUCCUGAACCAGAUUUAGGCAAUGAUAACUCUAAGUUAAUGGGGUUUCCCCUAACUUUCCAUUUUGGUGAACUUAGCCCAUCGUGGGGUUAGUUUGGUGGUGAUUCUAUUUCUCUGGCUGUGUCGAAAAACUUGAGACUUGAGCAUCAUAACAUUUUUACAUGAAGGAAAGGUAAGAGUUACAAUUUGCAUGUUUUAAAAACAGCUUUAUUUCCCCCUCUAUUAAUUCUAACAUUUAAUCAAAGCUACUUUUCAGGGGGAAACUUGCCUACAAAGGUCAAAGUCACUAGCAGUCACACGCCACCCCUAAGUCCAGCCUUGUGUGGGCUGCAGGACGCCAACAUUGAAGAGGAACCCAUGUGUGGAUAUAGUAAGGUUUUCAGGUCAUCUCCAGGGACUUUCAUUUUUAAUUUUUCUUCCCUGCCCCUUCAGCUAAAGAGCUGAAGUUAAAGAGAAAGGCAUGCCUUUUGGUUUUUUUGUUAAUGUCAAUGAGCUAAAGGAAGAAAGAGGCCAACUGUGGGCUUGUCUAUGCAAAGUAUACCAGUCAAUGAAGAGGAGGCUUUUACGGGUGUGGGUUGAGAAGCACAGUGGUUAAAGGAAGGGCUCUCAAUUCAGACCUGGGUGGAAUUCUAGCUUUUCACUUACUUGCUUUGUGAUGUUGGGGCAGACAGAUAAGUUACUUAAACCUCAGUUCGCACAUCUCUAAAAUGGGGUUAAAGAGAGUAACUAAAUGGUGUUCUGCAGAGAAAUAAAUCAAACAGUGUACCUACAGCAUUCGUCAUAGUAGGUAAUCUGUGAUCUUGGAUGAAUGCAUGAAUGAAUAAAGUUUAUUGGUUCCCAAAGAAAAGCAGAGGAUAGAAGAAAAUUCCAACCAUUUAAUACACACUGAGUACAAUUAUGUAUCCUGAACUGAAGUAGUAGGGUGGGAGGGCUGUCUUUAAGAAGUAGAAGACCCUCUCUGACUCCAUUUAUCCCCUUCUCCUAUACAACUGUGGCCCAUGUAUUCUAUAGAAAUUAUUCAGUUGGCCUCCAUGUCACUAUAUCUGAAUCUUACUGAACUUAAACUUUUCGGCAGCUGAAAAGCAGCAAGUCCAAAACUAAAUUCAUCAUCAGCUAUUGUGCCAUGCCAUUGCUUUUCUAGUGUUCUCUGUCCAUUAUCCAAACAAUUGCUCGAAAAUGACAUUGGACACUUUCCCUUCUUUGGCUAUGAGCAUGUUAGACACGAGGAACAUAUAUGAUGUUCAAGUUCAUGGUUCGUGAGGGUUUAGAGCUUGGGAAACAAUCCCUAGCUGGGUGGUAGGUGAAGCCAUGGUGUAAACAAGCUCACUCAGGAAGGACCAGAAAGGGGCCUGAGAACAAGCCGUGAAGAACUCCAUAUUUAAAGCUGGAUUGCAGAAGACGAGCCUGCAAUGCAGAGCAGAGGAAGUAGCCAAAAAGGUAAAAGGAGUGCCUGAAAAUGUAGUAUAGGGAAGUCAAGGGAAAGAAGAUAUGAGGACUUAGCAGUCAAUUGCAUUCAGUGGCAUUGGGAAGGCAAAAUAAGGACUGAAAAUGUCUACUGAUGUUUUGGCAAAUGGAGGAGCACAGAGACCUUGGUAAAAUCCAUGUCACUCACUGAUGGUGACAGAAGACAAAAGUACAGUAGAUCUUAGUAGCCUAUACUCUCCAGUCUAAACUCUUGGUUCUAGAAAUGAAGACCUUUUCUUAAUUUUCCUCAAAUUAUUUUCAACU